rnacentral:rRNA from 1 species
CCUACGGGAGGCAGCAGUGAGGAAUAUUGGUCAAUGGACGAGAGUCUGAACCAGCCAAGUAGCGUGAAGGAUGACUGCCCUAUGGGUUGUAAACUUCUUUUAUAUGGGAAUAAAACGUUCCACGUGUGGGAUUUUGUAUGUACCAUAUGAAUAAGGAUCGGCUAACUCCGUGCCAGCAGCCGCGGUAAUACGGAGGAUCCGAGCGUUAACCGGAUUGAUUGGGUUUAAAGGGAGCGUAGGUGGAUUGUUAAGUCAGUUGUGAAAGUUUGCGGCUCAACCGUAAAAUUGCAGUUGAAACUGGCAGUCUUGAGUACAGUAGAGGUGGGCGGAAGUCGUGGUGUAGCGGUGAAAUGCUUAGAUAUCACGAAGAACUCCGAUUGCGAAGGCAGCUCACUGGACUGCAACUGACACUGAGGCUCGAAAGUGUGGGUAUCAAACAGGAUUAGAUACCCCAGUAGUC